UCUGGGAACAGUGACACCUGGACACCGUUACUGUGCGCCUGGACCAUUGGUCGACGAUUCAUUGGAACGUGUGGAGAGCUGAAGUAGAAAUUAAGACAGUGAUGAUCUGGGUCCCACCAGUUGCGAGUCUUUUAGAACGGCGAAAAUCACUCGCUUUGUAAUCAUAAAAAUGGGUGGUUACUUUUUCUACAAUCAUCACCGGUCAGGUUAAACGGACACUGGCAAUAGAAUUUUCCAGUCAAGUCGAUGCAUGUUGCUGACGGCGGGCAGGAGUUCUCUUUGCAAUCGACUAUAUCCUCGGCGCAAUUUUUACCUGAAAAAUGAUGUGAUAUGGUGGUGAAAAUUCCUCUCAACAUCGUACUCUAAUUUUUCAACAUGCCAGGGUGAGAACUGUACCUGUGUAUCCCGGAGGACAAAUACAGGUGAAACUCGGGCCAAUGUCUAUACAGGUAGCGCCAUUCUGACAUGCGCCAGCUUGGCAGGCAUCGUAUUCAUACUGGCACCCGAUACCGGUGUAGUCCUCGGGGCAUGAGCAAUUUAGUCCAGACCCAAAGUCCUGGCAACGACCAUUAUGCAUACAGGGAUUACCGAUGCAGCGCUCGGGUGCUGUCUCACAUUGCUUUCCAUCUGUUCCGGACGGGCAUCUGUUGCGAAGAAAAUGACGCAGGGGAUGAUUCUGGCAAGUGCCAAUGUCAAACUCGCAGUUGGCACCGGCCCAUCCGUCGAGGCAGCUGCACUUGUAACCACCUACAUCGUCCCUGCACGAGGCGCCGUUCAAGCACGGAUAAGACGCACAAUCAUCG
rnacentral:lncRNA from 1 species